rnacentral:misc_RNA from 1 species
AAGUCGUAACAAGGUUUCCGUAGGUGAACCUGCGGAAGGAUCAUUAACACGUAUCCAAACGUUAAACAACCCCGUGAACAUACAACCUGCUCUGGUCGCCCGACAGCGAUUCAUAGAAGCGGUAGGUCAAGUGACACGGCGUCCCCAAGUGACCAGUGAAUGAAAGUGUCGCUGGAGCGUCAAGGACGACUCUUCAAGAUUGCUAGAGGUCGACCACCGACCGGCUUCCGUGUAUACCGAGCUAACACCGCUCCCUUCCGAACCCCACUUUAUUGCCUUGCCUGUAAGCAUCCAUACGGAUGGGCAGGCCCCCCGAACAACUGUUAACAAUGGAUAUCUUGGUUCUC